GACGAACCGUGCGAACGUUGUUCGGAUUCACUGGGCUUAAAGGGCGCGUAGGCGGACUCGCAAGUCUGUGGUGAAAGCCCCCAGCUCAACUGGGGAAGUGCCGUGGAUACUGCAAGUCUGGAGGAGGGUAGGGGCAUCUGGAACGCUGGGUGGAGCGGUGAAAUGCGUUGAUAUCCAGCGGAACUCCGGUGGCGAAGGCGAGGUGCUGGACCCUUUCUGACGCUGAGUGCGCGAAAGCCAGGGGAGCAAAGCGGG
rnacentral:rRNA from 1 species